UGGGGAAUUUUGGACAAUGGGGGAAACCCUGAUCCAGCCAUCCCGCGUGUGCGAUGAAGGCCUUCGGGUUGUAAAGCACUUUGGCAGGAAAGAAACGUCAUGGGUUAAUACCCCGUGAAACUGACGGUACCUGCAGAAUAAGCACCGGCCAACUACGUGCCAGCAGCCGCGGUAAUACGUAGGGUGCAAGCGUUAAUCGGAAUUACUGGGCGUAAAGCGUGCGCAGGCGGUUCGGAAAGAAAGAUGUGAAAUCCCAGAGCUCAACUUUGGAACUGCAUUUUUAACUACCGGGCUAGAGUGUGUCAGAGGGAGGUGGAAUUCCGCGUGUAGCAGUGAAAUGCGUAGAUAUGCGGAGGAACACCGAUGGCGAAGGCAGCCUCCUGGGAUAACACUGACGCUCAUGCACGAAAGCGUGGGGAGCAAACAGG
rnacentral:rRNA from 1 species